rnacentral:rRNA from 1 species
AUGGAACUAAACACAACAUGCGAGUUGAGAGGGUUCGGCCCUCGGCUGACGGCUCAGUAACACGUAGAUAAUCUACCCUUAGGUGGAGGAUAACCUUGGGAAACUGAGGAUAAUACUCCAUAGAUCUAGGAGGCUGGAAUGAACUAGACUGAAAAAUUUGGUACCUUUAGAAUAAGCUGCCGAACCUCCAGGAAGAGGCCAGGGUUAGACUCUGCCUCGUCUACAACGGAAACGGUG